GUGAGGAAUUUUCCGCAAUGGGCGAAAGCCUGACGGAGCAAUGCCGCGUGAAGGAUGAAGGCCUAUGGGUUGUAAACUUCUUUUCUCAGAAAAGAAUUAUGACGGUAUCUGAGGAAUAAGCAUCGGCUAACUCUGUGCCAGCAGCCGCGGUAAGACAGAGGAUGCAAGCGUUAUCCGGAAUGAUUGGGCGUAAAGCGUCUGUAGGUUGUUUAAAAAGUAUUCUGUCAAAGAUUAGGGCUUAACCCUAGAUAGGCAGAAUAAACUUUUAAGCUAGAGUUUGGUAGAGGCAGGAGGAAUUCCCGGUGGAGCGGUGAAAUGCGUAGAUAUCGGGAGGAACACCAAAGGCGAAGGCAGAUCUCUGGGCCGUAACUGACGCUGAGGAGCGAAAGCGUGGGGAGCGAACAGGAUUAGAAACCCCAGUAGUCC
rnacentral:rRNA from 1 species